CGUAUAAGGUGAAGUUAAAUAGAGUUACAACGGAGAGCAGCCGACAGGAUUCAGUGCUUUGGCAACCAACCAGCUAAUAUCUUUGUCAUCUCCUUGGGGAGUAAAGUAUCUUGCUCAAUGAUACAACACAGCGCAGCGCCGUGAAUCGAACCCUCAAACCUACGGCUACGAGCCCGGCGUCCUACCACUAGACUACCGUACCUCCUUAAAUCAGCUUACCUUAACCGAUGCAGCAGAGGACGUGAUAAACGUUUGCAC